CGCGGAGUGGAGCAGUUGGUAGCUCGUCGGGCUCAUAACCCGAAGGUCGUAGGUUCAAGUCCUACCUCCGCUACUA
rnacentral:tRNA from 1 species